AGAACGAACGCUGGCGGCGUGCUUAACACAUGCAAGUCGAACGCGAAAGGGACUUCGGUUCCGAGUAGAGUGGCGCACGGGUGAGUAACGCGUAGAUAACCUGUCCUUGUGUCUGGAAUAAUACGUCGAAAGGUGUACUAAUACCGGAUACUCUUGCUUUAUAUAAGUAUAGUAAGCAAAGGUGGCCUCUGACAUAAGCUACUGCAUAAGGAGGGGUCUGCGUACCAUUAGCUAGUAGGUGGGGUAAAAGGCCUACCUAGGCUACGAUGGUUAGCGGGUCUGAGAGGAUGAUCCGCCACACUGGCACUGGAACACGGGCCAGACUCCUACGGGAGGCAGCAGUGAGGAAUAUUGCGCAAUGGGGGGCAACCCUGACGCAGCGACGCCGCGUGAGUGAGGAAGGCCUUCAGGUCGUAAAGCUCUGUCAAAGGGAAAGAAGUGCAUGGAGGUUAAUACCCUUCAUGUUUGACGGUACCCUUAAAGGAAGCACGGCUAAACUCCGUGU
rnacentral:rRNA from 1 species